UGCCUCCCUUUAGGGCCUCAUGGAGAAGGGUGUGUGAUCUCUGUUAACCUUGAGCUCCCUGAGCAAACCUCAGGUCUUGCCACCCCUCUGGGUGCCCCACAGCUGAGCGCAUAGCCAGGCUUCCACCCCAGGACUCACACUGCCCAUCACCUUCCCAGCCACCCAGGGCACUGUCCUGAUAGCUUCUCCCACCCUCUUCCAGCCACCAGGUGCAAUCUCCAACAUGUGCGGGCUUUGGGAAAACACAAUCGGGCAAGUGAAGUUUGUUGCAGACAAGUUCUUCUUCCCCUCUGCCACAACCUCCUCCAAGGUUACAGGGAGAGCACCCUGUCUGUGAAGAAGCAGGUUCUCAUCUGAUACCAAAUCUGCUGGCACCUUGAUCUUGGACUUCCCAGACUCCAGGACUGCACUCUCUCCUGCCCACGGAUCUUGCUUGGGAAAGGAAUGGGGCAAGUGGAAAUGGCCAUUUCUUAGAUGAACACAUCAGGGACUUGCUCCAGUCUGAAGUCUAUACAGAGCUAGGCUUUGAAUCCAGUCACGUAACUGCAUAGCAGCAAAUCAGCCUUUCAGAAUAUUGCAGGAUCAGCAAUGAAAUUCCCUUUGCCAGAGAAAUGGACAAACAAGGAAGCAACAAUGGUGAUGGUGGAAGUGUUCUUCAAGUCUAAGUUUGGGUUCUAGAAACAUCUGGCCAAAUAACGUCUUUCACAACUAAAAUAGAAUAUAAAGAAGCCAUUUGACCUGCCUCAGUUAUCAUGGUCAUCAUGACAAGCUGCAGCAGGACAAAUCAGCUUAACAAUUUCGGAAACUGCCAGAAAUGCUAUUUGGAUUAAUUUUUAUUUGGGAGUUGGCUAAAACUGGUCACAUCCCCAAAUACCUCAAGAUAAACAACAUAGCAUUAUCAUACAAAUCUAUAUUCACCAAAUUAGGUUAAAAUAGGCUGUUUUGAGAAGGUUGAAUUUUUUUAUGGGGAUUAUUCCCAAAAUACGUUUAGACACAAGAAGUUCAACUUUUCUUUUUUCCAUAUUUGAUGUCAAUCAAACUAAUUACUACAUGUUUGGAAUUGCAUUAAUUGUAUUCUUCAGUUACCUAUAAAAUUUAAUUAUCAUGUCUUUAUGGAAAUUUUAAUAUCAGAUAUAAAGAAUGGCAUAUUUAAAAUGACAUUUUAAUACUUUAUAAGAAGCAACAGAAAUUCGACUUCCAAAGCACCUCUCAGUACUACCAUUGGAGUACAUCUAUAUUUUUCUGUCAGAAUACUAUCCAAAGCAAGCAUAAGUAAUCCUUAUUUUCACGAUACAUUGAUGCUCAAAAGUUGUGUGUUCAGCAUGUCUACAAAGUAAAUUACCGUAUAUUUGAAACAGCAGACUAAAACUGAAGUAACAUCUGGAAAAAAUUGCCCUAAUUGCUAGCCCCUAAAUUCAUCUGACCUUGACACUCUCAUCUGAAUUUAAAAGUGUUUUAAAUUCUUAGCCAAUCAAUUCAAGCCAGAACUGAAUUCAUAUGUCUUCAGAAACUGCUAAUCUAGAACAAUGUAACUAGAAUAGAUUCCUGAUCAAACUUUGGUUUUGUUCAGGUAUCCACUCAUUUCCUAGGUGACCCAGAGGCCACAACUCACAACUCCACCCCUUCCCGUGGCUGGUCCAGGCUGUGCAGAUCUUGUAGUCACAAAGUCCUGGCAAUGGGCUGGGGGUGGGAUCUGACCUAGUGCUGACCAACAUGUCAAAAACAGAUGGCUGCAGAACCCUCUGGAAAAGCUUCCCUCAUUCUUAAGGAAUCCUGUGAAGAGAUGGUCUGUUUCUGUCCUGUUCCCUGGAUGUCAAAUGUCUGGGUUUGAGACCCAGAACUCCUGAAGCCAUCUCACAACUACAAGGGGAGCAGAUGUAGCCACUGAGGAUGGCCAAGCAGAGGGAGGGAGGACCUUUCCUGCCAGCAUCGCCAGCGGCUGAAUCACAGCCCAGAACCCCACAGCACCCUAAACGUCCUCUUAACAAAUGUAAUACGUUGUCUUACUGUUUGUGCCUGUGUGAAAAGUCCUCUUUGCUUGCAGUGAAGGCAUCCUAGUUGAUAAACAUGAAAUUUGAAAAUUGGAGAUUUCUUGGAACCAACAUUUCAUUUGUUUCAGUUCAUUUUCGUGGCUCAUCUUUUAAACCCUCUAUUGAAUUGCUUUUAAGAAGAUAUGCUGUAUUAAAAAUUACUCCUAAACUAUUAGUUUUUCUAGAUGGAAGGAUAUUCAAGUAUCAGGUUUUCCUAAAAUGGGUCACAUGAAUAUUUUCUUAAUUGGCUAUUCAACCUGGGCCACAUUUCUUUACAAUUGAUCUCAUGUUUCCCUUAGUGUUAUUUAAAGUGUCAAGUGAAAAAGGCAGUAAAAAAAUGUGUCUUGGUGUUUAUUCCUACAGACUGCUGGACUAAAUUAUUUGUGGUAAUUGAGGCCUAAUUGGCUAUAGGUUUUGUUAAAAUUUGUGAAGUAAUCAUGUUAUCACCCAGCCAGAAUUCCCUGGUUUUGAACUUGGGGACUUAGAUUACUCUUUAAUUGGAC
rnacentral:lncRNA from 1 species